UUUCAAAGAAAAUGUGAUAUGUGAUUAUCACAACAGUCUUAAUGUUAGAGACAAGAUGAUCCACCUCUCUUUUCCUCCAUCAGAAUUUAAGAGCAGUGCCACAAAAUUCCACAUUAUAAAUUUGUGUUUCUGUCCCUGUUUACUGCUAUUGGUGAGUCAGUUCUGCAGAAUAAUUAAAUAGUUAUCUGAUUGCGAUGUAAUGCUGUCAAAAAAUCCCAUUUAUGUGUUUUUUCAUCUCCCAUAUGAUGUCUGGAUAAGUCAUCUCUGU